rnacentral:rRNA from 1 species
GACGAACGCUGGCGGCGUGCUUAACACAUGCAAGUCGAACGAAGUGGCGAACGGGUGAGUAACGCGUAAUCAACCUGCCCUUCAGAGGGGGACAACAGUUGGAAACGACUGCUAAUACCGCAUACUUCAGGAGGGGAGUGAGUCUGAUUAGCUAGUUGGAGGGGUAACGGCCCACCAAGGCGAUGAUCAGUAGCCGGGCUGGGAGGAUGAACGGCCACAUUUGGACUGAGACACGGCCCAGACUCCUACGGGAGGCAGCAGUGGGGAAGCUUCCGCCAUGGACGAAAGUCUGACGGAGCAACGCCGCGGGAGUGAUGACGGCCUUCGGGUUGUAAAGCUCUGUUAAUCGGGACGCGGUACCGGAAUAGAAAGCCACGGCUAACUACGUGCCAGCAGCCGCGGUAAUAC